rnacentral:rRNA from 1 species
GCUUCAUUCAAAUAUCUGCCCUAUCAACUUUCGAUGGUAGGAUAGUGGCCUACCAUGGUUUUAACGGGUAACGGGGAAUAAAGGGUUGGAUUCCGGGAGGGAGCCUGAGAAACGGCUACCACAUCCAAGGAAGGCAGCAGGCGCGCAAAUUACCCAAUCCCGACCGGGGAGGUAGUGACAAUAAAUAACAAUAUAGGGCUCUUUUGGGUCUUAUAAUUGGAAUGAGUACAAUUUAAACCCCUUAACGAGGAACAAUUGGAGGGCAAGUCUGGUGCCAGCAGCCGCGGUAAUUCCAGCUCCAAUAGCGUAUAUUAAAGUUGUUGCAGUUAAAAAGCUCGUAGUUG